rnacentral:lncRNA from 1 species
AGUGGAGGUUGUGAGUGCCCAGCAGUGUGGCCUGAAUCUCCGUGGGGUUUAGGGAGACGAAAGGACCCCAGAUCGACGUCCCCUCGUUCCCACUUUGGGGAUCGGCGCUCUGGCUGUUUCGUGAAGGAGAGAGAGGUUGAUUCCAUACCCUGGCUAUUGUGAAUAAUGCUGCAGUGAACAUGGGAGUACAUACAUCUGUUUGAGGAACUCAGAGUGGUUUUCCAGAUGGGAAUCACAUUGCUCUCUGUCCCUGAGAUCUUGCUGGAGACAGGGCUACUCAGUCCCUCUUUGCCAGAUUGAUACUGGAAAAGCAGUUUCUAUUGAGCCCCCAAAUGAAGAGUGAGUGCAGAUGAAGAGGAGGCAGGACUCACAAGCCCUUGAACUUUAUUCCAGAUCUGUUAGCACCUACAGGACCCUGCACCAGGAUUUCAUCUGUACUAUCAGCUUCUUCAAAGAGAGAGAGGUUGUUGAAUUGAUAUUGGAAAAGCAGUUUCCCAUUGAGUCUCAAAUGAAGAGAGUGCAGAUGAAGAGGAGGUAGGAGUCACAAGCCCUUGACCCUCAUGCUAGACCCAUUACCACCCACAGGACCUUGCAGUGGGAUUUCAUCUGCACCAUCAGCUUCUUCAGAGAGAGAGGUUGUUGACUCUUCAUGUGGAUGUCUGAGCUCAUAUCAGGUGUCUGAAAGAGGCAGAUUCUGAGGAUUUGGGUCAUGAUGGCUGCCAAAGCUUCUACUCCUGACUUAAAGGGCAACAAUCCUAGGAGACCACCAGCACUUACAUCCCUGGUAGGACAUGACACCUGCUUAUGGCUCAGAAGUGACAAAAGAGAAUUAUCAGGAUGGCAGUCCUUAUAACCAGAUGCUUAUCAACAUUCUUCACUACAUUCUGAAGAUGAAUUUCUACAAGGGAAAUUGUUUAUGUAAGUGGUGUGUACCCUUUGAUAUGUAUUGACAUAGUGGCACACAUAGAGUUGUGCCAUUUAAACUCCCCAAGGGGAGGCAUGUGAGGUCGGCCACAGAGGACUGAAGAAAUUAGUUAAUGCUGACAUCCUAUCACAUAGGGUGGGUCCUGGACUCCGUCAUGGACCUGCUGUCAUGCCAUUGCCACAAUUGGAAGACGUGGAAGUGAUCAGAUGCAAUCAAAUUUUGUACACAAGCACAUCCUGAUGUAGCGAUGAGGGAAAGGGGGAAGAGGAAUGAUCAUUGCUUGGACUUACAGGACAGAGGCAGAAGGGCUAGGACACAGGCACUCUUUAUACGCAUUCUUUUUUUUUUUUUUUUUUUGAGACGGAGUAUCGCCUGUUGCCAGGCUGGAAUGCAAUGGUGUGAUCUCAGCUCACUGCAACCUCCGCCUCCUGGGUUCAAGCGAUUCUCCUGCCUCAGCCUCCUGAGUAGCUAGGACUGUAGGCACGCACCACCACGCCCAGCUAAUUUUUUGUAUUUUUAGUAUAGUCGAGGUUUCACCAUGUUGGCCAGGAUGGUCUCCAUCUCUUGAGCUCGUAAUCCGCCUGCCUCGGCCUUCUACAGUGCUGGGAUUACAGGCGUCAGCCACCACACCCGGCCCUAUAUGCAUUCAUUUUUAUGUAAAACAUAUGCAUCAAUUCUUUUGUAUGAAAACGUUUGGUCAUUACUGUGGUACAACAGAAGACCAGGUCAGUACCAUAUUUUUUUUUCAUAUGUACACGGAUUUUUAUUUUGUUUUAGACAUUGUCUUACACACAAUAGACAUUCAGUAUUUGUUGAAAUUAAUGAAAGAAAAGAGAAACAUGAAAACGGUCUGAGAAGACAAUAAUCUGCUUUUUAAUUUAUAGACAGCAAUUAGGUCAAACAAUUAUAGCAAUGAUGACAAAGAACAAUAUCUGAGGUACACUCAAAACCUUAUGAGGGUUAUUUGCCAGUUUUCCUGGCUAUUUCUACACCCUUUGAUCUCUAGUGAAUGUUUCUACUUACAACUACAUAUUUUGUAAGUUUUGCCUACUGUAUUUCAAUCAACACUGUAAAAAAUGAAGAGAGUCUUUUUGGUUCAAAUUUGGUUUUUAGUUAAUUAUGUGAUGUGUAUAUGAUUUUUUGUUACCUUUUCUGUAUAGAUAUCAGGAGAAUCGAAAAUAUGUUGAUGGUGGAAUUGUGGUAUGACAUUUUUACUGACUACUACUCUGCAAAAGUUUUAUCUAUGAGCUCUAUGGGUUGUUCCUGGCUUUUGAAAAUUUACUUUAAGGAAGUGUUUUUGGAAAUGGAUUAUAAGUAUACAAGUAUGCAAUCUUAUGUAUUUGCAACUGUCUAAGAUGUUAUGAUACUUUCCUCCCUGCAAUCUGGCAUUCAUCCAUUCAAGACAUUUUAAUUGAACUCUUACAAUGUUCUUAAUACUAUGAUAAGCCCUGAAGGUAAACUGUGACUAAAAAUGUUGCAGGAUAAAAUACAGGAUUCCUAGUUAAAUUUGAAUUUUAGAUAAACAACAUUCUUAUACUAAAAAUUAUUCCAUGUUUAUCUGAAAUUCAAAUUUAGCUGAGUGUCCUGUAACUUUUUAUUUUAUUUGUUUACUUGUUUGUCUGUGAUAAAUAUGGCAGCCCUAGUAAAAAUAAAUAUAGCCCCUGA